rnacentral:lncRNA from 1 species
CCGAGGCAUACCACCCUAUUAAAUAGUCAAGCUCCUGCCUCCAUUUUUUGCAGCCUGGUGAUGUGGUACUAAAAACCAAAUGGACAAGCCCCAUGGGAGAGACUCAUUGGUGUGGGUAAGAAAAAUAGGUGAUGUAGAUUAUUGGGCAUUGCCUAUUUGCCUACAGUAUUGAGGUGGAUGCCCACAUGAGUGAUUGGGUCUUCCCUGACUUGCACACACGACCACAUGGCACUCACCUUAACCUUAGGGGAGCGACUCUGUGUCGACUAUUGUGAGACGAAACAAGGUGCCGCCUAGAGUGCUGACGAAAUUGGCUAGAACACCAUGCUGGGCGACCAUCGGCCUUAAGUGUUGAUUUUUUAUCUUAUUUUUUCUUUCUUUUAUAUUUAUUUUAACAGUUUUCCAUUAUAUUUCACAGUUUAUGCUUAUAUACAUCCACCCCUGUAACUUCUCAACUACCGACGCACUACAAUCACUAGGAAAAUGCUUGUGCAUUUCUACAUGCAAUAUGAAUCCAUUAAUCACAAUUUAGCAAAUGCGUACACCAAUAAGUGGAGCAUUGUUUGAUAUCAUAGCUGAAUGUCCAUUAUUCGAUAUCAUAGGUCAACAUCCGUGAAUUGCGACCAAAUAUAUAUUACUAUGAUGACCAAAGGCAUGAGCAACACAAAAAUCAAGCACAACAAAAUAUUUCCCAACAACUGCCAAAGAAAAAGAUUGCAAAUAACAACUUAAAGAAACCAAUAUCGCAAAACUAACAAGCCUUUGAACAAACAAGAUUUAACAUGACACUAAUUGGGUAUGCUUAAUUUGCACGAUACAAUGGUUCACGGGGAAACAAGUUUGUGCUGAGUGAUACAAGUUUGGUCUAUUCAACAAAACACAUCAAAUUUCCUGACUUAGGCAUUGAUAUCAAAAGUAUUCCGAGUCUUUAUCUAGAUAGAUCCAAACAAAUAUACAAGGAUGAGAACUUCCAAAUAAUCUUAUAGAUUGUGAAUCUAGCAACAUGAGUAUCAAUUCUACACUUUCCACAUAGGCAAUACAAUUUUAACUAGUGGGUUAUGCUUGUUUCCCGAAACAAGAUCAAGCGGGAGGUUGGUGUUAAUUCACCUAGGUGUAGAACCUUCUUUCGCUGAACACCAAUCCAAAGGACCAUGCUUGUUGCUUCGAAGAUCACUUGUAGAGCUUGUGCGUCUCGGGACAAUGAGGGAUUAGAGGAGUAGGCGACACUAUCUUUCCUAGAGGCGGGCCUACUACUGGUCGGGUGAGACUCUGCUGUGCAUCACAAUUCUUGAUCUUGUUUGUAAUUGAAGAGAGGUCCCAAGGCAGGAUGGCACUCACACGAGGGCUUGAUAAGUUGCAUUAGAGUGUGCUUUGAGGAUCACUUGAAGACUCAGAGCGGCACUGAUUAUAGAGAGCAUGGGGAAUGCUUAGUUUCUUGAAGGCUAUGCUUUGUUUUGUGCUAGAGGAUUUAGAUGUGGUCAGAUGGAGUUGGGCCAUGAAAUUAUAUUGAGAAAUUGAAGGGCAAAAGUUAAGAGAAACUUAGAGUUGUUGUUUAUGGAUGGCGAUAGGCCCAAGUUGCAUGUUUGUUGGUUUUGGGUGAUGAGAAUUGGAGAUUGGGAGGAAAGAGGAUAUGCUACGUUAGAAAAAAACAUUAAAGAAUUCGAGUUUGGCUACAUCAGUGCGAACUAUUAUGUUCAGCCUUUAGAAUCAGUUGUGUGCCCAACACUUCUUCCGAAACUGGUUUUGAUUCCAUUUUUGUUGUAUGUGUGCAGUUUUCAGAAUGGAGACUCACGCACCGCUUAUGACCGAUCAAUUAGACUCUACAUAUUAUGGCUUUUCCUUGUCUAGCCACCUUCAUGACCAAAGAUCUAAAUGAUUUAUUGCUUUUGCCAUGUCUAAGGUAAAUGCUUUUUUUCGAGCCUACGUUAGUUUCAAAAUGCGCAAGUUUAAUUAGCCGAAAAUGUAAGUUUGAUUUUUUUCAAAAAGAAAGUGUAGAGUGGAUUUUGGACGUUUUUACAAAGUGUGAAAUACACUUUUUUAGAAAACAUUUGUACUUAUAUGAAAAAAUAACCUUUUACUGCUUACUAUUGAAAUGUGUGUGCAAGGGUUAUUGAUUAUUUAGAGCCCGCUGUGGUAUCCAUUGCCUAUCCAACACUCUAUGCAAACAUCAAAACACUAUUACCGUAACACCAAGUAAGAAAUCAAUGCCUUGUGAACGUAUAUAUACACAUUUAUUUGAUAAGAAAUGUUAUCCUCAACCACGAGGGGAAGCACCUCGUGUAACGAUCUCCAACCAAAACUACAUACUUAGGUGAAUAAACAUUGUGACGCAUUAGCACAGUUAGCUUGUAUUGCAAGUACAAUAUGAUAUCAUACUUCACAUGCACAAGUGUGGUGUACUUGGAUAAAGCAUAAGUGACCAUUGUAAUUACGUGUGAGAAUAUAUAACAAGAUUUUUAGUUUUGGGUAACGAAGGGAAAGUAAUGCAAUGAACCUCGCAUAUGUAUUCCUCCUCUGGAAUACAUUCAUCCAUCCUCUCGUCCUCCGAUAUGUAUAGAGUAGGCCACAAUAGGUUAAUGGGGGAAAGUUGUUUGUAAUUAGGUAUUGUGUAGAAAAUAUUCAAGAUAAUCAUUGGCCUAAGACUAUACCAAAAAUCUGCAAAUGAAGAGCAAAAGGAAGAUAUUUAGUUUAAUUGUGAUGCAAGAAGCCGCUUAACUACACUAUUUAGGUGGGCCAACACGUGUAGGCGGACCAGGUGGUAUAUAUUGUUGGUGUUGGAUUUCCGUUUUAGGCUCACUGGAACUUCAUGGGGUGUUUGUUUUUAUGGGCGUGCGCCAUGGAUAGCUAGCGAGUAAAUGUUUGCUUUGUAGAUGUGUCCUUAGUUUCUUCCCAUAUUUCAUGUUGGAUAUGAUUUGUUCUCCUAAAUUGGCUAAGAAAUAUUGGAAAUAACUGAAAAAGAUAAAAACAUCAUGUCAUCGAAGAUCCACCCCCUCCGCUCGCACGAUAUUGCUUUGGAAAUGGAAAUAAUCCCUUCAUGUCAUGGAAGAUCUACAUCCUUCCACUCACGCGAUAUCGCAUCAUCUUACCUGGGUCAGUCUUCCCCCUUUCCUCACAAAAAAUCACGUUGUAUUGCAUGAGAUAUAUCCUGAAGUCCACUUAUUGUAGAACGAAAAUAAAUUCUCUAGCGACCCCGCCAUUUGAGACGUACCGGAAGCCUCCCCACCAUCCGAAAUUAAUGACACAUGUAAGCAAAGUGAGGGGUGGGUGUUGGGACUUACGAGAAUCCAUGCGAGAGCCGCAAUGCUUGGGGUGUUGAGCUCAUUUAUUCUCCACGUGGAUCGCUUCUUAAUGGUAUCACGCUCGAGUUGGUCACCUCCCAUGGCUAAGCCUCGCAUCUGGUGUAAACUAAAAUUAAGUUAGUAAAUUUUGGUGUUUCUAUAUUUGUUGUUCGAUUCUGAUUUCAGUUUAUUCCUAAAGGGUAGACUGCAUUAGGCUAACUAAGGAUAUGGAUACCUUCAACGCUUGGCACCCCGCAAUAUUAAAUAGAAAAGGUCCCUACCUCAUUUUGUGUAGCCACAUGAUGUGGGAGAAAUCACGAAAGAGACAAGCCCCGUGGGAGAGACUAAUUGGACUGGUUGAGAAGAAGAAGUUUUGUAGAAUAUUAGGCCUUGCGUAGUUGCAUACAAUGUUGAGGUGAAGAUCCAUAUUGUGCGGAUGUUUCCUUGUCAAACGGGCCAAAUAUCCCCUAAAUGGGUGAUCGGACGAUGAAAUCAAUCUUAGGACACUACCGAUUUGGCUAACGGCUUAUCAAAUCCCUAAUAUUUUGAAGUUGGGUUUGAGUUAGAGGAACGAGAGUCGAUGUGUUUGUGGUUCUAGAGGAUUGCCAAAGAUGCCCUAUGAGACUUUAUGACUUGUUCUCACACGUUGCUCGUAUUAAAACUACAAUAGGAAAUCAUACUUCACAUGCACAAAUGUGUGGUGUACCUAGAUAAAGCAAUAGAGACAAUUGUAGUUACAUGUGAGAACAUAUUAAAAAUAAUUUCAGUUUUGUGCAAUCAAGGGAAAGUAAAGUAAUGUCCUUCUCAUAUUUAUGCUCGCACUGAUCACAUUCAUCCAUCCACUCGUCCUUAUAGCUGUAUAGAGUAGGCCACAAUAGGGCCAUGGGAGAGUGUUGUUUGUAAUUAGGCGGUAACUGUGUACAAGACAUACAAGACAAUCAUUGUCCUAGAGCCUAUACCAUCCAUAUGCAAAUAAAGUGCAAAAGGAAGAAAUUUUGUUUAACUCUAAAGCAAGAAGCCGCUUAACUACACUAUUUAGGCAGGCCAACAUGUGUGGGAGGACUAGGUGGUAUUUUUGCGGUGAAUUUCCAUUUUAAGCUCAUUGGAACUCGAUGGGGAUGUUUGCUUUUUAGGUGUGGCCCAUGGACAGCUAGCCAACAAAUGGUAGCAUUGUAGAUGUGCCCUUUGUUUUUUCCCGUAUUUCAGGAUAGAUAUGCAUUUUUUUUCUUAAAUUGGUUAAGAAAACAUGGAAUUAACUAGCAACAAUGAGAAACACAUCACAUCAUUGAUGAUCACCCCCACCCCCCGCCCCCCGCCUCCACUCGCUUGAGGUCGCUUUGGAAAAAUGCAAAUUACGACUUCAUGUCAUGGAAGAUCCACACCCUUCCACUCACACGAGAUCACAUCAGCUAACCCAAGAUCCGUCUUACCCAUUUCCUCACAGAAAAUCACAUCAUAAUGUGUGACAUAUAUCCUAAGGUCUAGCAUGAAAACAAAUUCUCUAGCCACCCCGCCACUUGAGACAUACCGAAACCCACCCCACCAUGUGACAUUAAACAUACAUGUAAGAAAGAGAGGGGUGGGCUUGGGAGUUAUGAGAGGUCAUGCAAGAGAUAGAAUGCUUGGGCUAUCAAUCCACUUUAUCCUCCCUCGUGAAUCGCUGCUCGAUGGUCCCACGCCCAUGUUGGACACCUCACAUGGCCGAGCCUGGCAUUUGCUAUAUACCAAACUUCGGUUAGUAAGUUUUGUUCUUUCUAUAUUUCCUUUUUGAUUCAGUUGGUUAAGAAAAAUGGAAAUAACUAGCAACAGUGAAAAACCCAUCACAUCACUGAACAUCACCCCCACUACACUCACAUGAGAUCGCUUUGAAAAAAUGAAAAUUAUCACUUCACAUCAUUGAAGAUCCACACCCUUCCACUCACAUGAGAUCACAUCAUUUAACCCGAGAUCUGUCUUCCCCUUUUCCUCACACAAGAUCAUGUCGUAACGUGUGACAUAUAUCCUAAUGUCUAGCAUGACAAUAAAUUCUCUAGCCGCCCUAUCACUUGAGACGUACCGAAUCCCACACCACCAUCUGCCACGAAACAUAAAUGUAAGAAAACGAGGCGUGGGUUUUGGGCCUUAUGAGAGGUCAUGCAAGAGCCAAAAAGCUUGGGUUGUCAAUCCCCUUUAUCCUCCCUUGUGGAUCGCUGCUCGACGAUCCCAUGACCAUGUUGGGCACCUCACAUGGCUGGCCCUGGCAUUUGGUAUAUAAACUUAGGUAAGUAAGUUUUGUGUUUCUAUAUUUCCUUUUUGAUUCAGUUUUCGACUUAUACUGAAAGAGUAUAACGUGUCCGGUUCACCAAGGAUAUGGAUGCCUUUCACCCGAGGCAUACCACCCUAUUAAAUAGUCAAGCUCCUGUCCCCAUUUUCUGUAGCCUGGUGAUGUGGUACUAAUAACCAAAUGGACAUGCCCCACGGGAGAGAUUCAUUGGUGUGGGUAAGAAAAAUAGGUUUUGUAGAUUAUUGGGCAUUGCCUAUUUGCAUAUUGUAUUGAGGUGGAUGGCCCACAUGAGUGAUUAGGUCGUCCCUGAUUUGCACACACGACCACAUGACACUUACCUUAUCCUUAGGGGAGCGACUCUGUGUUGACUAUUGUGAGAUGAAAUAAGGUGUCGCCUAGAGUGCUUACGAAAUGGGCUAGAAUACCAUGUUGGGCGACCAUCGGACUUAAGAGUUGAUUUUUUUAUCUUCUUUUUUCUUUCUUUUAUAUUUAUUUUAAUAGUUGUCCAUUAUAUUUCACAGUUUAUCCUCAUAUGUGUCCACCCCUGUAACUGCUCAAUUACCGAGCCACUACAAUCACUAGGAAAAUGCUUGUGCAUUUCUACAUCCAACAUGAAUCCAUUAAUUACAGUUUAGCAAAUGCGUACACCAAUAAGUGAAGCAUUGUUUGAUAUCAUAGUUGAAUGUCCAUUAUUCGAUAUCAUAGGUUAAUAACCAUGAAUUGCGACUACAUAUAUAUUACUAUGAUGACCAAAGCCAUGAGAAACACAAAAAUCAAGCACAACAUAAUAUUUCACAACAACUGCCAAAAAAAGAGAAACCCACAUCACAAC